rnacentral:tRNA from 1 species
GGGCGGUUAGCUCAGUUGGCAGAGCGUGUCUUUGACGUAGACAAGGCCACAAGUUCAAAUCUUGUACCGCCCA